GAUGAACGCUGGCGGCGUGCCUAAUACAUGCAAGUCGAGCGAACAGACGAGGAGCUUGCUCCUCUGACGUUAGCGGCGGACGGGUGAGUAACACGUGGAUAACCUACCUAUAAGACUGGGAUAACUUCGGGAAACCGGAGCUAAUACCGGAUAAUAUAUUGAACCGCAUGGUUCAAUAGUGAAAGACGGUUUUGCUGUCACUUAUAGAUGGAUCCGCGCCGCAUUAGCUGGUUGGUAAGGUAACGGCUUACCAAGGCAACGAUGCAUAGCCGACCUGAGAGGGUGAUCGGCCACACUGGAACUGAGACACGGUCCAGACUCCUACGGGAGGCAGCAGUAGGGAAUCUUCCGCAAUGGGCGAAAGCCUGACGGAGCAACGCCGCGUGAAUGAUGAAGGUCUUCGGAUCGUAAAACUCUGUUAUUAGGGAAGAACAAAUGUGUAAGUAACUAUGCACGUCUUGACGGUACCUAACCAGAAAGCCACGGCUAACUACGUG
rnacentral:rRNA from 1 species